AUAGUUGCCUGGAAGGGGAGAUACCAUGAUCACAAAGGUGGUUUUCCCAGGGUGAGGCUUAUCCACUGUACUCUGGAUAUGCUGACCCUUGUGAUUUCCCCAAAUGUGGGAAACUCAACUGCAUAAUUUGUGGUACUGGGGGAUUGCACCUGCUCUCUCCCC
rnacentral:snRNA from 1 species